rnacentral:rRNA from 1 species
CCUACGGGAGGCUGCAGUGGGGAAUAUUGCUCAAUGGGGGGAACCCUGAUGCAGCGACGCCGCGUGGGUGAAGAAGUAAUUCGGUAUGUUAAGCCCUUUCUGCAGGAAAGAAAAUGACGGUACCUGACUAAGAAGCACCGGCUAACUACGUGACAGAAGCCGCGGUAAUACGUCGGGGGCAAGCGUUAUCCGGAUUUACUGGGGGUAAAGGGAGCGUAGACGGGAGUGCAAGUCCGGAGGGAAAGCCCGGGGCGCAACCCUGGGACUGCUGUGGAAACUGUAAAGCUGGAGUGCAGGAGGGGCAGGCGGAAUUCCUGGUGUAGCGGUGAAAUGCGUAGAUAUCAGGAGGAACACCGGUGGCGAAGGCGGCCUGCUGGACUGCAACUGACGGUGAGGCCCGAAAGCGUGGGGAGCAAACAGGAUUAGAUACCCGGGUAGUC